rnacentral:rRNA from 1 species
GACGAACGCUGGCGGCGUGCUUAACACAUGCAAGUCGAACGGAAAGGCCUCUUUCGGGGGGUACUCGAGUGGCGAACGGGUGAGUAACACGUGAGUAACCUGCCCUUGACUUUGGGAUAACUUCAGGAAACUGGGGCUAAUACCGGAUAGGAGCUCCUGCUGCAUGGUGGGGGUUAGAAAGUUUCGGCGGUUGGGGAUGGACUCGCGGCUUAUCAGCUUGUUGGUGGGGUAGUGGCUUACCAAGGCUUUGACGGGUAGCCGGCCUGAGAGGGUGACCGGCCACAUUGGGACUGAGAUACGGCCCAGACUCCUACGGGAGGCAGCAGUGGGGAAUAUUGCACAAUGGGUGGAAGCCUGAUGCAGCAACGCCGUGUGCGGGAUGACGGCCUUCGGGUUGUAAACCGCUUUCGCUCAUGACGAAGCUUUGUGUGACGGUAGUGGGUAAAGAAGCACCGGCUAACUACGUG